GUUGGCUUUGGAGCCAGCGAUAUGUGGCCGCCUAGUGAGGGUGUAGAGGUGGUGUGAUAUUGAGGCAUUGUCGGAUAGGGAACUGGAGAUGUAGAGGGAGUGAUGGGAGGGUUUUGGAGGCGAAGAAAAUAGGAGGAAGAAGAGAGAGGUGGCUAUUGCCGUACAGAUGGAGACUUUGAACAUGGGGUUUGAUUUUUGGUUGUCGGUAGAUUUCUUGGAGGCUUGAAUGUUUGUUGUGAAGCUGCUUUGCUCAAGGCGGCUCUGUGGGUUUUGGAAGGAUCUGUUAAGCAAGAAAAGCUCUGAAACACACCAAAGACUCUCUCUGAGAAAAC
rnacentral:lncRNA from 1 species